rnacentral:rRNA from 1 species
AAUAUUGCGCAAUGGAGGGAACUCUGACGCAGCGACGCCGCGUGAGCGAUGAAGGUCUUCGGAUCGUAAAGCUCUGUCCUUGGGGAUGAAGGUCUUCGGACUUGACGGUACCUAUGGAGGAAGCCCCGGCUAACUACGUGCCAGCAGCCGCGGUAAUACGUAGGGGGCAAGCGUUGUCCGGAAUUAUUGGGCGUAAAGGGUUCGCAGGCGGCCGAUUAAGUCAGGUGUGAAAUCCCACGGCUUAACCGUGGUAAGCAUUUGAAACUGAUUGGCUUGAGUUAAGGAGAGGAAAGUGGAAUUCCUAGUGUAGCGGUGAAAUGCGUAGAUAUUAGGAGGAAUACCAGUGGCGAAGGCGACUUUCUGGACUUAUACUGACGCUGAGGAACGAAAGCGUGGGGAGCAAAC